AUGGUCAACAAGUGGCGAGAGCAUCCCUAGUGAAUGAAACUUUGGAAGCUAAUAACCGCGUAAAUGGAGGCACUUGUUACCACAACUGCAGUGGCAUGCAGACCUCCACACACCAUUUACACUCAGGUGAAAUGGGGGAGGAAGACUGUUCAGGCCAACAACGAGGGAGCAUUUCCUCAAACCAGGCCUCACAGAGGCCUGUUGCUAGCCAGUGAACUCCAGUAUGCUAAGUGGAUGGCAAUACCGAGGAUUCAGUUCAGCCAAGUAGAGAGAUGAAUCCUUUUCUUAUUGGGUAACCACAUGCACAUCCACAUCCUUGGCAACAUUUUGCCAGGCGGCAAUUCAUUCUUGGCUUUGUUUUGUGUGGCGACUUGGAUGAAGAGAGGGAAACGAGGGAUGAAGAGGUUAUUGGCUUGUUUUAAGUCAGCCAAUGCCCAAUGCUUUUGCCAUCAUCUUUUCCAUUUUCAUUUUUCCUGUGUAAAUAAACCUGUGGAAUAAAUGUGAGUAGAAAUACCGGAGAGAUUUUAAAUGGGGAAGCAGCUCUUUAGUUUAGUGUAGGGAUCUAUGUUCUUGUCUGACAAUUUCUUAUCUGUUUGCAAUUGGACGGUGGACAUAUUUUUUUUUUUUGGAAAGCAAAAA
rnacentral:misc_RNA from 1 species